rnacentral:lncRNA from 10 species
GAAACAAGAGAGCAGAGGAAGGACACAGAGACGGUCUCUUAAGACAAGGCAGAGUUAGGGUCGGGGAGGUGCAGAGAUGAGAGGACUUCUCAGGUAAAUAAGAGAAUAAGGCUGGUGGAGGGAUGCCAAGGAGACAGGCUGCCCCGGGGGACACGGGCAAAGGGCGGAGAGCAGCAGAUGUGCUUGGAGGGAUGAUGUCUGGCUGGAAACUCUUGACUUGGAGCUGUAAAAUCUGGAUUUGAUGUGAUGGGUAAAAGUGGUUUCUUGAAGGCUCAGAGACGAGCAUCAGGAAGAUGAGCGUGGCAGCCAGAAAACUCCGACUCCACCAACACGAAUUAGAAGUGGCAGUCAGAGGACAUUGCUAUGAGAGGAAGGAGUUCGAGGAGCAGAGAUUAUCCCAGCCUGAAUGUGCCCUUCGUUGAUUUCAUGAUGUUGCGGAGGCAGAAGCCUGAGGUCAAAGUGUGGCAAUCACGCCCUCCUGGCUGCUGGGCUGCCAGAGUCCUCGCGUUCCUGACUGCAGCUGCACCACUUCCAUCUCUGUCUCCAUUAUCCCCUGUCCAUCUUCCCUCUGCCUGUGUCACUUCUCUUCCUAUAAGGACACUCGUCAUGUUGGAUUAAGGGCCCACUCUACUCCAGCAUGACCUCAUCUUAAUGUACAUCUUAAUUACAUCUUCAAAGACCCUAUUUCCAAAUAAAGGCAAACUCGCAGAUACCAGGGGUUUACAUUUGAACAUAACUUUCAUGGGGGACACCACUCCACUGUGCUUCCUCACAGCACAACGUCCUUGUGGCAGAGGGACUUCAACACAGCCUUGGCCCACAGGAGGGACCUCCAUGCAUAGGAAGCAGCAGGAUCCCCCAUGCAAAGGCCCAGCCUCAUGUCCAUCACACUCCACGGAGGCACAGCCCUUCCCAGACCCAAGGGGAAAGCAGAGGCCUCCCUCUGGGUGGGGACAUGAGCAAAGAAUUUGCCCCACUGCUAAUUAGCCACAGUCACUUGUUAUGAGGCAGGUCCCAGAGACACAA